rnacentral:rRNA from 1 species
UACGUAGGGAGCAAGCGUUAUCCGGAUUUAUUGGGUGUAAAGGGUGCGUAGACGGAGAAGCAAGUUAGUUGUGAAAUCCCUCGGCUUAACUGAGGAACUGCAACUAAAACUACUUCCCUUGAGUACUGGAGAGGAAAGUGGAAUUCCUAGUGUAGCGGUGAAAUGCGUGGAUAUUAGGAGGAACACCAGUGGCGAAGGCGACUUUCUGGACAGUAACUGACGUUGAGGCACGAAAGUGUGGGGAGCAAACAGG